AACGCACAUUGCGCCCGCCAGUAUUCUGGCGGGCAUGCCUGUUCGAGCGUCAUUUCAACCAUCAAGCCCCAGGCUUGUGUUGGGGACCUGCGGCUGCCGCAGGCCCUGAAAACCAGUGGCGGGCUCGCUAGUCACACCGAGCGUAGUAGCAUACACAUCGCUCAGGGCGUGCUGCGGGUUCCGGCCGUUAAACCCCUUUUUUACCCAAGGUUGACCUCGGAUCAGGUAGGAAGACCCGCUGAACUUAA
rnacentral:misc_RNA from 1 species